GGGUUGGGCGGGCUGCCUUACCAUGCAGUCGAACGGUAACAGGGAGCUUGCUCCGCUGACGAGUGGCGAACGGGUGAGUAAUACAUCGGAACGUGCCCAGUAAUGGGGGAUAGCUCGGCGAAAGCCGGAUUAAUACCGCAUACGCCCUGAGGGGGAAAGUGGGGGACCGCAAGGCCUCACGUUAUUGGAGCGGCCGAUGGCUGAUUAGCUAGUUGGUAGGGUAAAGGCCUACCAAGGCGACGAUCAGUAGCUGGUCUGAGAGGACGAUCAGCCACACUGGGACUGAGACACGGCCCAGACUCCUACGGGAGGCAGCAGUGGGGAAUUUUGGACAAUGGGGGAAACCCUGAUCCAGCAAUGCCGCGUGUGCGAAGAAGGCCUUCGGGUUGUAAAGCACUUUUGUCAGGGAAGAAAUCCUUUGGGCUAAUACCCUAGGGGGAUGACGGUACCUGAAGAAUAAGCACCGGCUAACUACGUGCCAGCAGCCGCGGUAAUACGUAGGGUGCAAGCGUUAAUCGGAAUUACUGGGCGUAAAGCGUGCGCAGGCGGUUGUGUAAGACAGGUGUGAAAUCCCCGGGCUUAACCUGGGAAUUGCAUUUGUGACUGCACG
rnacentral:rRNA from 1 species